rnacentral:sRNA from 1 species
UGUGACUAUGAAAACAAACAACUGUUCU